AGCAUAUCCGGCCGGGCCAUCCCGGCGGGUCCCGCCCGGUCCCGCCCGGUGUCUCGGCCUUCCCAGCGCUCCCCAUGGCCCUGCCCGCCGUCCACAGAUGCCUCCAACUCAGUGAUGAAAAUGAACAGUUAGUCAAGAAGGUGAAAAGACUACACAUAAAAAAUAAGGAGCUAGAAAAGAAUCUGGGUCAGAUCCAAGAAAAGUUGCAUCUGCAGCAGUUAAUGCAUGACUGUGGCACAAGCAGAGAUGUUCAGGUUCAAACAGAAACCCAUUUAUGGCGUAAGAGUGGAGACAGCAAGGAUUUUGUUCUAGAGUGUGACAGUGUCAGACUGCUUCCUAUGUAUAAUGAGCUACAGAAACGUUACGUUAGAGAAAGCAAAAAAAACAAGGAGCAAAGUGAAGCAAUUAAAAAUCUCACUAUUAAAAUUCAUGAGCUAGAGCAUAAUCUUCAAGAGCAGAGGCAAAGAAUUGAACAACUGGAAUGUAAAAAGGUUUCUUGGAAAACUAGUGCUGUUUCUGGAAAAAGAAGUCGAACCUCAGAGGGAGAAAUAACUUCUCACAGAGACAUUUCUGAAGAGAAGGAAUCCUGUUGCAGUAAAUAUUUAGAGCUAUUGUUGAAGGAGAUUAAAAAGCUGAAGAAAGAAAAUGCAAAGUUGUCUGCAGAAAAGAGAGCACUAAAAAAUGAAUUAGCUGGAUUAGACAAGGAAUUUUUUGAAGAGGUAGAAGAUCUAAAGCAUGCUGUACAGGAAUGUCUGAAACUGAACUAUGAGUACGAAAAAUGCUUGAAACAAAUAAGUGUAAUGUAUGGGCUUCCUUUUACAGCACAUUUGUAAAUACUGGUUAAUUUAAUGGCAAGUAGAGUUUCCACUUUUUUUUUUUUUUAUACUUACUGCAACAUUUAAACCUACCAUGGCUUAAGUGGUACCUCGUUUUGAUAAUGUUAUGGAUUCAUUAAUAUGAUCCUAACAAGCUUCUCUGAAAUGUUUUUGUAUUUUGUGC
rnacentral:lncRNA from 1 species